GGCCUGGUAGUUCAGUUGGUUAGAAUGCCAGCCUGUCACGCUGGAGGUCGAGGGUUCGANNCUGCCAAGGGCA
rnacentral:tRNA from 1 species